rnacentral:rRNA from 1 species
AGCUCCAAUAGCGUAUAUUAAAGUUGUUGCAGUUAAAAAGCUCGUAGUCGGAACUCGGGCUGGGGGUCUGUGCCCAGCACUGCUGCGUGUGCAGGGCCCCGGUCUUCCUUCUGGCUUUGCGGGGUGCCCUUGAUUGGGUGCUGCGUGGAGGUCAGGACGUUUACUGUGAAAAAAUUAGAGUGUUUAAAGCAGGCAAUUGCUGUGAAUACAUUAGCAUGGAAUAAUAGAAUAGGACUAUGGUCUUGUUUUGUUGGUUCAUUUGACCAAAGUAAUGAUUAAUAGGGACAGUUGGGGGCAUUCGUAUUUCAUUGUCAGAGGUGAAAUUCUUGGAUUUAUGAAAGACGAACUGCUGCGAAAGCGUCUGCCAAGGAUGUUUUCAUUGAUCAAGAACGAAAGUACG